rnacentral:piRNA from 2 species
UAUUGUUAGAAAAUACCCAGGAGUCUAGG